CACGUAGGGGACGAGCGUUGUCCGGAUUCAUUGGGCGUAAAGCGCGCGUAGGCGGCUCGGAAAGUCGGUCGUGAAAUGCCGGGGCUCAACCCCGGGACUGCGUCCGAUACUCUCGAGCUGGAGGCAGGUAGGGGAGAUCGGAAUUCCUGGUGUAGCGGUGAAAUGCGCAGAUAUCGGGAGGAACACCAGUGGCGAAGGCGGUUACCUGGAGCUUUGCUGACGCUGAUGCGCGAAAGCGUGGGGAGCGAGUCCGG
rnacentral:rRNA from 1 species